rnacentral:rRNA from 1 species
AACGAACGCUGGCGGCAUGCCUAACACAUGCAAGUCGAACGAAGGCUUCGGCCUUAGUGGCGCACGGGUGCGUAACGCGUGGGAAUCUGCCCUUGGGUUCGGAAUAACUCAGAGAAAUUUGAGCUAAUACCGGAUGAUGACGUAAGUCCAAAGAUUUAUCGCCCAAGGAUGAGCCCGCGUAAGAUUAGCUAGUUGGUGGGGUAAAGGCCUACCAAGGCGACGAUCUUUAGCUGGUCUGAGAGGAUGAUCAGCCACACUGGGACUGAGACACGGCCCAGACUCCUACGGGAGGCAGCAGUGGGGAAUAUUGGACAAUGGGGGGAACCCUGAUCCAGCCAUGCCGCGUGAGGGAAGAAGGGUCCUCUGGAUUGUAAACCUCUUUUUGGCAGGAAACAAACCUGCGCUAUACGCGCAGCUGAGGGUACCUGCAGAAUAAGCACCGGCUAACUCCGUG